rnacentral:rRNA from 1 species
AGUGAACGCUGGCGGUAGGCCUAACCCAUGCAAGUCGAACGGCAGCACAGUAAGAGCUUGCUCUUACGGGUGGCGAGUGGCGGACGGGUGAGGAAUACAUCGGAAUCUACUUUUUCGUGGGGGAUAACGUAGGGAAACUUACGCUAAUACCGCAUACGACCUACGGGUGAAAGCAGGGGAUCUUCGGACCUUGCGCGAUUGAAUGAGCCGAUGUCGGAUUAGCUAGUUGGCGGGGUAAAGGCCCACCAAGGCGACGAUCCGUAGCUGGUCUGAGAGGAUGAUCAGCCACACUGGAACUGAGACACGGUCCAGACUCCUACGGGAGGCAGCAGUGGGGAAUAUUGGACAAUGGGCGCAAGCCUGAUCCAGCCAUGCCGCGUGGGUGAAGAAGGCCUUCGGGUUGUAAAGCCCUUUUGUUGGGAAAGAAAAGCAGCAGGUUAAUACCCCGCUGUUCUGACGGUACCCAAAGAAUAAGCACCGGCUAACUUCGUG